UAUAAAAGGGGCCGCGCGCUUUCGCAUUUGCUAUCCGAUUUCCACAAACUGAAAACAUGAGAUUCGUUCUGGUCUGCUUUGUGGCUUGCAUGCUGCUGGUCGGAACGACGGCCAAAAGCAUUUCCGGAGACUCCAGAAAAAUCGGCAAAAUCUGCCUAACUGUAUACAUACCAGUUUGCGGCAAGAACAGCAACGGCGAAAUGCGCACCUUUUCCAACGAGUGCUUUAUGACUGACGGUUUCGUCAAGGUGAAGGAUGGCCACUGUUAACAACACACAUCUUGAAGUUCCGGACGAGGAUUACUAAUUGCAUUUAUUUUGGCGUGUGAUUUAUUCAAUAAAGAGAUCAAUCAAUUUAUUUUAACACAA